CCUCCUUUAAAGAACCGGAAGCUGGCGUGAAAGCGUCCACACAAUCUGCCUGAUCUGUUCAAAAGCAAACCGCGGGUCUGUAGCUCAGAUGGUUAGAGCGCACCCCUGAUAAGGGUGAGGUCGGAAGUUCAACUCUUCCCAGACCCACCACUUUCAGUGACUCUAUCAACGAACUCAUUGAUACGGGGCCAUAGCUCAGAAGGGAGAGCACCUGCUUUGCAAGCAGGGGGUCGGCGGUUCGAUCCCGCCUGGCUCCACCAGGCGAUAAACGGCGACGCACAAGCGCGUCGCCGUUUAUCUCUUGGCAUAUUUGCCGCGGGACGUUCUUUUAAAAUUUAGGUAGUGAUAUACGACGGUGAAGUCAGGACUUAUUUUGAGAUUCUGACUUUACUGGGUAUGCCAGCAUUUAUUAUGGUAGUUAAGACUCCAUGAAGAA
rnacentral:tRNA from 1 species